rnacentral:rRNA from 1 species
AGCAGCCGCGGUAAUUCCAGCUCCAAUAGCGUAUAUUAAAGUUGUUGCAGUUAAAAAGCUCGUAGUUGAAUUUCAGGAUUGACACAUCGGUCGUGCCUUAAGGGGUAUGAACUGGUGUAGUCAAUUUCUCACCUUCUGGAGAACCGCGAUGCCCUUAAUUGGGUGUCACGGGGAACCAGGACCUUUACUUUGAAAAAUUAGAGUGUUUAAAGCAGGCAUUUUGCUUGAAUACAUUAGCAUGGAAUAAUAAAAUAGGACGGCAUGAUUCUAUUUUGUUGGUUUCUAGGAUCACCGUAAUGAUUAAUAGGGAUAGUUGGGGGCAUUAGUAUUCAAUUGUCAGAGGUGAAAUUCUUGGAUUUAUUGAAGACUAACUACUGCGAAAGCAUUUGCCAAGGAUGUUUUCAUUAAUCAAGAACGAAAGUUAGGGGAUCGAAGACGAUCAGAUACCGUCGUAGUCUUAACCAUAAACUAUGCCGACUAGGAAUCAGACGAUGUAAUUUUUAAUGACUCGUUUGGCACC